CGACGAGCGUUUGAUUUGGCAUCGAAGCGCUUGCUACUCGCGAGUCGCGACCAGUGGACAGAAUGAUUGGAAAAGCGGGGCGUCGUGGACGGCUCAAGUGAUUUGUUGUGUUUUGCUAUUCGGCCGAGUGGAAAGUUUUCCGCUAUCAAUUGUUCCGUGUUCCGCAAAUUGCGAAAUUUCGAUCCAGCAUCUGUCGGUAUUUGUUGAAUUCUUGUCUUUUGCUGCUGAAUACGAAUACAUACAACAUAAGUUGCAUGCUUUCGAGUGAUGAAAUGCUGAUAAAUAAGAACUGAAUUCCGCGACUAUUGUUUAUGAGAGCUUGUGAAAUUGCCUGCGCAUUUACAUAAUCAUGCAGGCCAGUAAACUUCCGCCCAAUCCCCGCGAGUCGGCAGGUAUCUUAUCCUCGCUUAUGUUCUGGUACGCACACGUUUCAUCCUACCGCUAAGAAGUGUUUCCUUUGACCACUUUUCUACGUACAUCGGUACAUACAUAUGUACUCACCUAUGUACCGUCACCUUUCUACUGCCACUUAGAAGUGACAUCCGAAGACAACCGUUAUCGGAUACCACAUACUCUUUGCCCUGCCCAUUCUGUUCAAGGGUCGCAAGCAGACGCUCCAGCCCACGGAUCUGUACAAAACGCUGGAUGAGCAUGGAGCGGAGAGCCU
rnacentral:misc_RNA from 1 species